UUGAGGAAGCUUGUUGUACAGUUUAAUGCACCAGUAAUUCACUGCAAUUUGAGUGGAUUUAGCUCUAUGAAAAUUGCUCCUGAACUCAUCUCUGUGUCUGGUGUUGUACGAAUGGCAAUCGCUGACUUGAGUGAACCCAUUUUUGUUUGAGUGAACAAAUUUCAAGCACUCCAGAAUGAAAACGGAGACCAUGGAGAAUCCGAUCAAGACCUGGACUAUGCCCCCAUAUCAGUAUCCCAUAUGUCGCCACAGAGUGAAAGUUGGAAAAAUAAGUCAGCUUACAGACAUUAUCGGUAGAGAUGGCCUUCAUACGCCUCAUAGUAAAAAGGGCUGUCGACAGUUUCCUGACCAUUAAAGGUAAACCAGUCCUCCGCAACUCGCAGGGUCUCAUUACACACACGCUCCAGUUCCUCCC